rnacentral:rRNA from 1 species
AAUAGAUACCCGGGUAGUCCACGCCGUAAACGAUGAGUGCUAAGUGUUAGAGGGUUUCCGCCCUUUAGUGCUGCAGCAAACGCAUUAAGCACUCCGCCUGGGGAGUACGGUCGCAAGACUGAAACUCAAAGGAAUUGACGGGGGCCCGCACAAGCGGUGGAGCAUGUGGUUUAAUUCGAAGCAACGCGAAGAACCUUACCAGGUCUUGACAUCCCACUGCCCGGUAUAGAGAUAUACCUUUCCCUUCGGGGACAGUGGUGACAGGUGGUGCAUGGUUGUCGUCAGCUCGUGUCGUGAGAUGUUGGGUUAAGUCCCGCAACGAGCGCAACCCUUGAUCUUAGUUGCCAGCAUUUAGUUGGGCACUCUAAGGUGACUGCCGGUGACAAACCGGAGGAAGGUGGGGAUGACGUCAAAUCAUCAUGCCCCUUAUGACCUGGGCUACACACGUGCUACAAUGGAUGGUACAAAGGGCUGCAAGACCGCGAGGUCAAGCCAAUCCCAUAAAACCAUUCUCAGUUCGGAUUGCAGGCUG